rnacentral:miRNA from 1 species
UUCAAACUUAUUUUACGGCCA